rnacentral:rRNA from 1 species
CAGUAGCCGCGAUAAUACGGAGGGAGCUAGCGUUGUUCGGAAUUACUGGGCGUAAAGCGCGCGUAGGCGGUUACUCAAGUCAGGGGUGAAAUCCCGGGGCUCAACCCCGGAACUGCCUUUGAUACUGGAAGUCUUGAGUAUGGUAGAGGUGAGUGGAAUUCCGAGUGUAGAGGUGAAAUUCGUAGAUAUUCGGAGGAACACCAGUGGCGAAGGCGGCUCACUGGACCAUUACUGACGCUGAGGUGCGAAAGCGUGGGGAGCAAACAGGAUUAGAUACCCCCGUAGUCCCUGUCUCUUAUAA